CUACGGGUGGCUGCAGUGGGGAAUAUUGCACAAUGGAGGAAACUCUGAUGCAGCAACGCCGCGUGGAGGAUGACACUUUUCGGAGCGUAAACUCCUUUUAUAUAGGAAGAAGAUGACGGUACUAUAUGAAUAAGCGCCGGCUAACUCCGUGCCAGCAGCCGCGGUAAUACGGAGGGCGCAAGCGUUACUCGGAAUCACUGGGCGUAAAGAGCGUGUAGGCGGAUUAAAAAGUCAGAAGUGAAAUCCUAUAGCUUAACUAUAGAACUGCUUCUGAAACUCUUAAUCUAGAAUAUGGGAGAGGUAGAUGGAAUUUCUGGUGUAGGGGUAAAAUCCGUAGAGAUCAGAAGGAAUACCGAUUGCGAAGGCGAUCUACUAGAACAUUAUUGACGCUGAGACGCGAAAGCGUGGGGAGCAAACAGGAUUAGAUACCCCCGUUAGUC
rnacentral:rRNA from 1 species